rnacentral:rRNA from 1 species
CGAACGGGUGAGUAAUGCGUGACCAACCUGCCCCAUGCUCCAGAAUAGCUCUUGGAAACGGGUGGUAACGCUGGAUGCUCCAACUUGACGCAUGUCUUGUUGGGAAAGUGUUUAGUGGCAUGGGAUGGGGUCGCGUCCUAUCAGCUUGUAGGCGGGGUAAUGGCCCACCUAGGCUUCGACGGGUAGCCGGCCUGAGAGGGCGGACGGCCACAUUGGGACUGAGAUACGGCCCAGACUCCUACGGGAGGCAGCAGAG